AUUCCUGAUGAAUAUUAAUGCAAACAUCCUCAACAGAAUACUAGCAAACUAAAUUCAGCAACACAUUUUGCUCUGCACUUUGUUUUUUAUGGUUUGUUCACUUUUUACUAAUAUUCCCUGAAGCUCAUUCUAUAGCAUUAUAUAAAAAUUAUUCAUCCCUUUUUACAUUUGGUUAGAAUGUAAUAGCAUAAUUGUAUUAUCACUGUCAAUUACUUUCUCUUUAUGACAAGUGUAUCAGCCAGGUUCCUGGCAGAAAACAUGGCACUUUCAAAAUGGGUAAUCUGAGAAUUUCAUCAAGGGACUAUUUAUAAAGAUGUUGGCCUUGUGUAUGUAAA
rnacentral:lncRNA from 1 species